rnacentral:rRNA from 1 species
GACGAACGCUGGCGGCGUGCUUAACACAUGCAAGUCGAACGGAAAGGCCCUGCUCUUGUGGGGUGCUCGAGUGGCGAACGGGUGAGUAACACGCGAGUAAACUGCCCUUGACUGUGGGAUAAAUUCAGGAAACUGGGGCUAAUAUCGGAUAGGAGCUCCUGCAGCACGGGGUGGGUUGGAAAAAUUCGGCGGUUGGGGAUGGUCUCGCGGCUUAUCAGCUUGUUGGGGGGGUAGUGGCUUACCAAGGCUUUGACGGGUAGCCGGCCUGGGAGGGUGACCGGCCACAAUGGGCCUGAGGUACGGCCCAGACUCCAACGGGAGGCAGCAGUGGGGAACAUUACGCAAUGGGCGGACGCCUGUUGCGGCAACGCCCCGUGCGGGAUGACGGCCUUCGGGUUAUAAACCACUUUCGACUGUGACGAAGAGUGCGUGACGGUACUGAGUAAAAAAGCACCGGCUAACUACGUG